rnacentral:lncRNA from 1 species
UUGGUAGGUGAAUUGGUGAGAAGAGUGGACCAUAAGAGAAGGUUAAUUAAUUAACACCAUUUAAAUCUCACACUACAACAAAAAUGGUCUAUAGCAACACUUUUAAAUAUAGGUACAUGUCAAAAAAAUGCUGCUAGCUAAAAUUACCGACACUUUUAAAAAGUGUUGCUAUAUGUGGGGUCGCUAGGUAUAUAAUGACAGUUAAAGAGUGUCGCUAUAACCUAAAAGAGUGCUGCUAAUUUUUUUUGAGAAAAUAGGUAGCAAGCUACCUGCUUCAUUCAUAAAGCGGGAUGAAUUUAGCGUACAUAGUGGAGACAACUACGGUCUCCGAAAAAGAAAAGGUACAGAAAAAAGAACGAGGUAAUAAAAGAAAGGAAUAAAAAGUAACUAGUAAUAAGUAAGCAGUAAUAAGAGAAAUAAGGAGAGAGAGGUGUAGCAAGGGUGAUGGAGAUCGCUCAAUGAAGUAAGGUCCAGUCACUCAUCAAAAGUUUGACGCGUUCGAAUGAUCGGGUAGCGUUGUGGGAUGUUGCUCGAAAAAUAGUCGAGUUUCUUUCAGUCCAAACUAUCCACCAGAUUGCUGCCAGUACAAUCAAGCCUUUAGAUCUCCUCACAGCGUUGGGCGUUUCACAUAAUUUGUUCCAAACCUCCCGGACGGUCCCCCAUAACAUCAGCGAUUACAGCGAUUACAUCACCAGAGUGCUGCUAAUUUACCAACACUUAUUUAAGUAUUUAGCAACCGCCGAAACUCUAUCUCGUUGGCUGCGGCGGCGGAGGAGGACGACAGGAAAGGUUUUUCGUCUAGAAUUUCAGUAGAUUGAGUGAAGAGAGAAGAAAAGAUGGUAAUUGAUUUUUUCUUUUUUUUUUCUUUUCUGUUUGUAAUCGGGCCAAAUGGACUGGAUGUGGUGGGUUGAGUAGAGUAAUCUUUUAUUUUUUGUUGGAUUGGGCUUUAUAUCUAGGCAUUAGUAGAUUUUUUUUAAAAUUUUAUCAUAAAUGGGACACUUACUCAAAAGUGUCCCAAACAUGUGUCCCUAUAAUUUAAUUUUAUUGUAGUGUCAUAACUAAUUAACGUGGCAUAGAGAGAGAUUAGAUUUUUUUU